rnacentral:rRNA from 1 species
AGUGAACGCUGGCGGUAGGCCUAACACAUGCAAGUCGAACGGCAGCACAGUAGGAGCUUGCUCUUACGGGUGGCGAGUGGCGGACGGGUGAGGAAUACAUCGGAAUCUACUUUUUCGUGGGGGAUAACGUAGGGAAACUUACGCUAAUACCGCAUACGACCUACGGGUGAGAGCAGGGGAUCUUCGGACCUUGCGCGAUUGAAUGAGCCGAUGUCGGAUUAGCUAGUUGGCGGGGUAAAGGCCCACCAAGGCGACGAUCCGUAGCUGGUCUGAGAGGAUGAUCAGCCACACUGGAACUGAGACACGGUCCAGACUCCUACGGGAGGCAGCAGUGGGGAAUAUUGGACAAUGGGCGCAAGCCUGAUCCAGCCAUACCGCGUGGGUGAAGAAGGCCUUCGGGUUGUAAAGCCCUUUUGUUGGGAAAGAAAAGCAGCAGGUUAAUACCCCGCUGUUCUGACGGUACCCAAAGAAUAAGCACCGGCUAACUUCGUG